rnacentral:tmRNA from 1 species
GGGGAUGUAAAGGCUUCGACAGGGUUGUUGAAGUUGGAAUAGCGGGUAGAGGAUGCGCGUUGGCCUCUUAAAAAAACGGGCAAAAAAUUUAGUUGCAAAAACUAAUAGAUUAGCUGUAGCUGCGUAAGCUCGGCCACAGAUUCGAUAAAUCUGCUAGUUGAAUAUCUGUGUUAGUCAGCAGACCUUGAAAGUCGGAGGUUAAAUUUUCCCAUUUCAAGCUAAGCUUUGCCCUUGGAAUUAUUAUGAAGCUACUUUUAUCAGCGAUUGUUCAACGUCUAACUGAUGAAGGGAAUUUUUAAAGUUUGGACUGCACCCGGAGAAGUUCCGACUAAGAUGAUUUUGGACACGAGUUCGAUUCUCGUCAUCUCCA